rnacentral:rRNA from 1 species
GACGAACGCUGGCGGCGUGCUUAACACAUGCAAGUCGAACGUGAUUUUUGUGGAAAUUCUUUCGGGAAUGGAAAUGAAAUGAAAGUGGCGAACGGGUGAGUAACACGUGAGCAACCUACCUUACACAGGGGGAUAGCCGUUGGAAACGACGAUUAAUACCGCAUGAGACCACAGAAUCGCAUGAUAUAGGGGUCAAAGAUUUAUCGGUGUAAGAAGGGCUCGCGUCUGAUUAGCUAGUUGGAAGGGUAAAGGCCUACCAAGGCGACGAUCAGUAGCCGGUCUGAGAGGAUGAACGGCCACAUUGGAACUGAGACACGGUCCAAACUCCUACGGGAGGCAGCAGUGGGGAAUAUUGCACAAUGGGGGGAACCCUGAUGCAGCGACGCCGCGUGAGCGAAGAAGGUUUUCGAAUCGUAAAGCUCUGUCCUAUGAGAAGAUAAUGACGGUAUCAUAGGAGGAAGCCCCGGCUAAAUACGUGCCAGCAGCCGCGGUAAUACGUAUGGGGCGAGCGUUGUCCGGAAUUAUUGGGCGUAAAGGGUACGUAGGCGGUUUUUUAAGUCAGGUGUGAAAGCGUGAGGCUUAACCUCAUUAAGCACUUGAAACUGGAAGACUUGAGUGAAGGAGAGGAAAGUGGAAUUCCUAGUGUAGCGGUGAAAUGCGUAUAUAUUAGGAGGAAAUACCGGUGGCGAAGGCGACUUUCUGGACUUUACUGACGCUCAGGUACGAAAGCGUGGGGAGCAAACAUGAUUAUAUACCCUGGUGGUCCAAGGGCGAAUUCCACGUGGAUAUCAGGCUUAUCGAUACCGUCGACCUCGAGGGGGAGAAAAGGUAUCCAGUUUUGUUCCCUUUUGUGGUGGUUUAUUAAUG